ensembl:misc_RNA 7SK 7SK RNA
GAAUGUGAGGGCUCUUUGACUGUGACAUCUGUCACCAUUGGUAACUAGGGUUGACUCAGCUUAUCUGGCUAGCGAGGUAGAUAUACCUUUCCUCACUACAUUUUAUGUACAUCCCAAAGCUGCCUACUCGGUUGAAGAGAACAACCUUCCCUGAUAAAGACUACCUGCUAGAACCCUUCAAACAAGCACUCAAGAGUAUUAGUAUGAACUAGUUGUUAAGAACUUACUAUUAGAAAUGAAUGUUGAGCUAUUUUAGGAAGUACUUUAUCUGAUCAACUUAAAGAAAAAUAGAUGUAUAAAUCUAAAAAUUACAUCAGUGGUUCUCCCCUGUGGGUAGCAACGCCC